GACGAACGCUGGCGGCGUGCUUAACACAUGCCAGUCGAACGGAAAGGCCCUGCUUUUGUGGGGUGCUCGAGUGGCGAACGGGUGAGUAACACGUGAGUAACCUGCCCUUGACUUUGGGAUAACUUCAGGAAACUGGGGCUAAUACCGGAUAGGAGCUCCUGCUGCAUGGUGGGGGUUGGAAAGUUUCGGCGGUUGGGGAUGGACUCGCGGCUUAUCAGCUUGUUGGUGGGGUAGUGGCUUACCAAGGCUUUGACGGGUAGCCGGCCUGAGAGGGUGACCGGCCACAUUGGGACUGAGAUACGGCCCCGACUCCUACGGGAGGGAGCAGGGGGGAAUAUUGCACAAUGGGCGGAAGCCUGAUGCAGCAACGCCGCGUGCGGGAUGACGGCCUUCGGGUUGUAAACCGCUUUCGCCUGUGACGAAGCGUGAGUGACGGUAAUGGGUAAAGAAGCACCGGCUAACUACGUG
rnacentral:rRNA from 1 species